AAUAAUGCCCUUUCCUCAUAAUUACGGUAAUGCCAUUCUUUCUCCUCACUUCUAUUUCCUCCUUCGUCAGAUCCAAAACCCUAGCACAAAACCAAUUUCAAUUCAAACAAUCAUCUCAUCAAUCACAACCAUCACACAAGCGAUCAAUCACACCGGUGUAAACUGUUCCAAAUUGUCCCAGUUCUCCUAUUGUUAAUUUUGUACGGAUUGUUUAGCGUCUCACUAGCUCCGAUCACCAACUUCGUGUACUUCAAAGUAUGAAUUUCCUUUUUCUUCUUCUCUAAUCGUCUAAACCUAUAUUACUUCCAUCGUCUCAGAUCUGCAUUUAGGAUACAGAAGAGAGAGAAAUGGGACGAGAAUGGAGAAAAGGUAAUGAAGGGUGUCAACGACAUAUGAAGCAAUCCAUAUGGUAUCCAUUCAAAUAAUGUUGUUGGGAUUCUUAAAUGAUGAUAUAUAAUCGCUAUCGUUUUUGCAGAGACAUUGUGUAAUUAUCAUUGAUUUUGGGCGAUUGAAGUUUCUUCACAUGACAUGUCUGUGUAUUGUUGCCGCUGGCCCACACAGGAAUAUUUUUAAACAACAGUGGUUUAGGCUCAUAAGACUGACCCUUUGUUGUGUAUAUUAAUGCAUUGUAUGUAAGCCUCUUACUUGACUAUGGAAGGUAAGAUUAUAUUUACACGUUUAACUUACAACUGCGAGUGGUUUCAAGUGGUAUAUUUGAGGGUUUAGGAACAGAGCGAACGAUGUGGAACAACUCCGGACAGGAGAUGUGGAACAACGGAGCAAUUGAUCCGCCUGGAACCAGCGGAGGACCGCCGCUAGCACCGCCGGGGACUGGAGGUGUUGGUGGGUCGAUUCCGCCACCGCCGGCUGCUCAACCGUCGUACACUGUGUUGCCGUCUCCGGCUGAAGCAGAG